rnacentral:rRNA from 1 species
CCUACGGGAGGCAGCAGUGAGGAAUAUUGGUCAAUGGACGCGAGUCUGAACCAGCCAUGUCGCGUGCAGGAUGACUGCCCUACGAGUUGUAAACUUCUUUUGUAAGGGAAUAAUGUGAGGCACGUGUGCCUGUUUGAAAGUACUUUACGAAUAAGGAUCGGCUAACUCCGUGCCAGCAGCCGCGGUAAUACGGAGGAUCCGAGCGUUAUCCGGAUUUAUUGGGUUUAAAGGGUGCGUAGACGGUUUUAUAAGUUAGAUGUGAAAGUUUGGGGCUCAACCGUGAAAGUGCCACUAAUACUGGCAGACUAGAGAACAGAUGAGGUAGGCGGAAUGCAUGGUGUAGCGGUGAAAUGCGUAGAGAUCACAAAGAACACCGAGUGCGAAGGCAGCUUACUAAACUAUAACUGACGUUGAUGCACGAAAGUGUGGGUAGCAAACAGGAUUAGAUACCCCAGUAGUC